rnacentral:lncRNA from 1 species
AAGCAAGUGUUUCACUCAAUCACUCAAGUGUUUAAGGUGACACUCCAACUCUCUAUUGUUCACAAGUCACAUGAAACAGAAUUGUCAUUCAUCUCAAACAGUCAACAUCUUUACAUGCAAAUGCCAUCAAAAGGACUUUUUCAAGGCUUGUAAUGAGGUUGGGCUAACAAGAAAGAAUUGGUUUUUCUAGAAUGCAAAACCCUUGAGUUAAGAGAGCUAUUAAAAUAUUCACAAAUUAAGCACAACUCUCUUCCUUACCAAUCUCUCUCAUUCCCAACUUUUCCCUUUUCUUUUUUUCUUUUGCAUUGAGCUCUUCUUCAUGCUUUUCUUCUUUUCUUUUCUUUUUCUCAUGAAUUUUUCUUUUCACAACAUUUGAGCUCAAUGCUUUUCACUUGCUUUUUCAACUUUCCCCCAACAACCCCAAACUUGAACCUUUUUGUCACAUACAAUUAAGCUCAUCCCAACUCAAGGUAAAGAAUUUCAAAACACGGGGUCACACACUAUUUAAGGCUAAGGUUCAAAAAGGAUAAAAUAUUUUUAAGCAUUUUGGGUGAAAAUUUGGCUAGAGAAGGGUUUUCAAAAAUGGCCUUGAUCAUAUGACAUUCACAUGCAAUUCAAUCGAUCAUCAAGAUUAAGGAAAUAUCAUCCAUGUUUUCCUACGAACAAUACAUGCAUCAAUAAAAACUCUGAAGCUCAAAAUGUCACACACAUGCUUCCUCACACACAAUUCAUUCAUACACCAUGCCUAGCAUCAUGACCACAAUCUUAAAUUCAUCACCCAUCUAUUUCCUGGGUAUCAACAUACAUUACAACUAAAUUUUCUUUCACAUCAAAUAAUCAUCAAAUAGAUCCAUCAUGCACAUCAGUUAGUCAGACAUUUUCAGAACAAGUAAUAAAGCC